AGCUACCCGUCUCUCUCCCUCUCGCUCAUUUUCAGCUUCAAAUUAAAAAAAAAAACCACGCAUGUUUCAGAUACAAAUGAAAGAGAUUUGUAAAGGAGAACAUGUGAAAUAGUUUUCUACAAUCAAACUUCAGAUCUAUGCAGAAAGUAAUAGAAAUUUGGUAUAAUCGGUAUAUUUUGAAGAAGGAUAUAACACUUUUUAUUGAAAUCGAGAUAACUCUUGGGGACCUUCAGAGAAGACACAAUUGUCACUGGCUGUUUUUUCUCUUUCUGCUCUGCGUUAUGUUUGAAUCAAUCUCAAGGUGGUAGCUACGUUUGAUUGGAGUCGGUGAUCAAGGAAAGGAGACAUCUUAUUCCAAAAACUUUUGCUCAAAACAAUCAAACACAACAAUAAAUAGCUGGCAAAAGUAAAUAUAUAUAUGCCAGUAAUUAUUGGUAUGGAUUUGUGAGCCAAAGUAAGAUGUUAUCAACACUCAAUAAGGACUAAUAUGGUUCAAACAACAAUAAAUGCAAACCUUGUGGUUAAGGAAAGUAGAUUUUGAUGCUAAUUCAACCUGAAGAACUAAUUCAAGAGAUAAGGAUUGUACAAAGAUGCUCCGCUGAUGUGGUAUAUCCCACACCCCCGCAUGCCUAUGCCAACUGGAGCGUAGGCAAUAUAAUAUGGGGGCUCAAUUAGGAAAUCAAGAAUAUGAUCUAAAAGAUCUUCAGCCAUGUUACUGCUGCAGAUUCCAUGUAUAGUCACAGGACGCGGAAUGGGCAUGGCGGCAUGUUAAAGUUCUGCGGAUUCUUUAUUUUGCAUGUGUAGAAAUCAAAUGUAGAAAUCAAAUCAAUCAAUUACACUGUUAAUGCUUCUGUUCAAGAUCUUUUUUCUA